rnacentral:rRNA from 1 species
CAGCUCAAAUUUGAAAUCUGGCUUCGGCCCGAGUUGUAAUUUGUAGAGGAUGCUUUUGGCGAGGUGCCUUCUGAGUUCCCUGGAACGGGACGCCAGAGAGGGUGAGAGCCCCGUAUAGUCGGACACCUAGCCUCUGUAAAGCUCCUUCGACGAGUCGAGUAGUUUGGGAAUGCUGCUCAAAAUGGGAGGUAUAUCUCUUCUAAAGCUAAAUAUAGGCCAGAGACCGAUAGCGCACAAGUAGAGUGAUCGAAAGAUGAAAAGCACUUUGAAAAGAGGGUUAAAUAGCACGUGAAAUUGUUGAAAGGGAAGCGCUUGUGACCAGACUUGUGCCGGGCUGAUCAUCCAGUGUUCUCACUGGUGCACUCGACCCGGCUCAGGCCAGCGUCGGUUCUCGCAGGGGGACAAAAGCUUCGGGAACGUGGCUCCUCCGGGAGUGUUAUAGCCCGCUGCCCAAUACCCUUGCGUGGACCGAGGUUCGCGCUCUGCAAGGACGCUGGCAUAAUGGUCAUCAGCGACCC